CCUUCGGGUGUGUAAAAAGCACCUUUAAGCAGGAAAGAAAAAACUCCGGUUCUUAAUACAUCGAGUCUGACGUACCUUGAAGAAAUAAGCACCGGCUAACUCUGUGCCAGCAGCCGCGGUAAUACAGAGGGUGCUAGCGUUAAUCGGAUUUACUGGGCGUAAAGCGUGUGUAGGUGGUUGUUCAAGUCAGUUGUGAAAUCCCUGGGCUUAACCUGGGAACUGCUUCUGAGACUGAACGACUAGAGUACGGUAGAGGGUGGUGGAAUUUCCGGUGUAGCGGUGAAAUGCGUAGAUAUCGGAAGGAACAUCAAUGGCGAAGGCAGCCACCUGGGCCUGUACUGACACUGAGACACGAAAGCGUGGGGAUCAAACAGGAUUAGAUACCCUGGUAGUCCACGCCGUAAACGAUGAGAACUUGACGUCGGUUUGCUCUGCAAGUCGGUGUCGUAGCUAACGCGAUAAGUUCUCCGCCUGGGGAGUACGGCCGCAAGGUUGAAACUCAAAGGAAUUGACGGGGGCCCGCACAAGCGGUGGAGUAUGUGGUUUAAUUCGAUGCAACGCGAAGAACCUUACCUGGGCUUGACAUGCUAGGAAUCCUGCAGAGAUGUGGGAGUGCCCGCAAGGGAACCUAGACACAGGUGCUGCAUGGCUGCCGUCAGCUCGUGUCGUGAGAUGUUGGGUUAAGUCCCGCAACGAGCGCAACCCUUGCCCUUAGUUGCCACCAUUUAGUUGAGCACUCUAAGGGGACCGCCAGUGACAAACUGGAGGAAGGUGGGGAUGACGUCAAGUCAUCAUGGCCCUUAUGCCCAGGGCUACACACGUACUACAAUGGACAGUACAGAGGGUCGCCAAGCCGCAAGGUGGAGCUAAUCCCAAAAAGCUGUUCGUAGUCCGGAUCGAGGUCUGCAACUCGACCUCGUGAAGUCGGAAUCGCUAGUAAUCGCCGAUCAGCAUUUGCGGCGGUGAAUACGUUCCCGGGCCUUGUACACACCGCCCGUCACACCAUGGAAGUCUGUUGCACCAGAAGUAGGUAGUCUAACCGCAAGGGGGGCGCUUACCACGGUGUGGCCGAUGACUGGGGUGAAGUCGUAACAAGGUAACCAAGGGCGAAUCGCGCCGCUAAG
rnacentral:rRNA from 1 species